rnacentral:rRNA from 1 species
UACGAAGGGGGGCUAGCGUUGUUCGGAAUUACUGGGCGUAAAGCGCACGUAGGCGGAUAUUUAAGUCAGGGGUGAAAUCCCAGAGCUCAACUCUGGAACUGCCUUUGAUACUGGGUAUCUUGAGUAUGGAAGAGGUAAGUGGAAUUCCGAGUGUAGAGGUGAAAUUCGUAGAUAUUCGGAGGAACACCAGUGGCGAAGGCGGCUUACUGGUCCAUUACUGACGCUGAGGUGCGAAAAGCGUGGGGGAGCAAACAGG